AUUGAACGCUGGCGGCAGGCCUAACACAUGCAAGUCGAACGGUAACAGGAAGCAGCUUGCUGCUUCGCUGACGAGUGGCGGACGGGUGAGUAAUGUCUGGGAAGCUGCCUGAUGGAGGGGGAUAACUACUGGAAACGGUAGCUAAUACCGCAUAAUGUCGCAAGACCAAAGAGGGGGACCUUCGGGCCUCUUGCCAUCGGAUGUGCCCAGAUGGGAUUAGCUUGUUGGUGGGGUAACGGCUCACCAAGGCGACGAUCCCUAGCUGGUCUGAGAGGAUGACCAGCCACACGGGAACUGAGACACGGACCAGACUCCUAAGGGAGGCAGCAGUGUGGAAUAUUGCACAAUGGGCGCAAGCCUGAUGCAGCCAGGCCGCGUGUAUGAAGAAGGCCUUCGGGUUGUAAAGUACUUUCAGCGGGGAGGAAGGGAGUAAAGUUAAUACCUUUGCUCAUUGACGUUACCCGCAGAAGAAGCACCGGCUAACUCCGUG
rnacentral:rRNA from 1 species